rnacentral:rRNA from 1 species
CCUACGGGUGGCAGCAGUGAGGAAUAUUGGUCAAUGGGCGUAAGCCUGAACCAGCCAAGUCGCGUGAGGGAUGACGGUUCUAUGGAGCGUAAACCUCUUUUGUAAGGGAAUAAAGGGCGUGACGUGUCCCGUUUUGAAUGUACCUUAUGAAUAAGGAUCGGCUAACUCCGUGCCAGCAGCCGCGGUAAUACGGAGGAGCCGAGCGUUAUCCGGAUUUAUUGGGUUUAAAGGGUGCGUAGGCGGCUGUUUAAGUCAGAGGUGAAAUGCUGUGGCUCAACCACAGAAUUGCCGUUGAAACUGGGCGGCUUGAGUAUGUUUGAGGCAGGCGGAAUGCGUGAUGUAGCGGUGAAAUGCUUAGAUAUCACGCAGAACACCGAUUGCGAAGGCAGCCUGCUAAGCCACGACUGACGCUGAUGCACGAAAGCGUGGGGAGCAAACAGGAUUAGAUACCCUGGUAGUC